GAUGAACGCUGGCGGCGUGCCUAAUACAUGCGAGUCGAGCGAACAGAUAAGGAGCUUGCUCCUUUGACGUUAGCGGCGGACGGGUGAGUAACACGUGGAUAACCUACCUAUAAGACUGUGAUAACUUCGGGAAACCGGAGCUAAUACCGGAUAACAUAUUGAACCGCAUGGUUCAAUAGUGAAAGGCGGCUUUGCUGUCACUUAUAGAUGGAUCCGCGCCGUAUUAGCUAGUUGGUAAGGUAACGGCUUACCAAGGCAACGAUACGUAGCCGACCUGAGUGGGUGAUCGGCCACACUGGAACUGAGACACGGUCCAGACUCCUACGGGAGGCAGCAGUAGGGAAUCUUCCGCAAUGGGCGAAAGCCUGACGGAGCAACGCCGCGUGAGUGAUGAAGGUCUUCGGAUCGUAAAACUCUGUUAUCAGGGAAGAACAAAUGUGUAAGUAACUGUGCACAUCUUGACGGUACCUGAUCAGAAAGCCACGGCUAACUACGUGCCAGCCGCCGCUGUAA
rnacentral:rRNA from 1 species